rnacentral:tRNA from 1 species
GCCUGCCUGGCUCAGUCAGUAGAGCAUGUGACUUGUGAUCGCAAGAUUGUGAGUUCAAGCCCCACGUUGGGUG